UAGUGGCGCACGGGUGCGUAACGCGUGGGAAUCUGCCCUUGGGUUCGGGAUAACAGUUGGAAACGACUGCUAAUACCGGAUGAUAUCUUCGGAUCAAAGAUUUAUCGCCCAGGGAUGAGCCCGCGUAGGAUUAGCUUGUUGGUGAGGUAAAAGCUCACCAAGGCGACGAUCCUUAGCUGGUCUGAGAGGAUGAUCAGCCACACUGGGACUGAGACACGGCCCAGACUCCUACGGGAGGCAGCAGUGGGGAAUAUUGGACAAUGGGCGAAAGCCUGAUCCAGCAAUGCCGCGUGAGUGAUGAAGGCCUUAGGGUUGUAAAGCUCUUUUACCCGGGAUGAUAAUGACAGUACCGGGAGAAUAAGCUCCGGCUAACUCCGUGCCAGCAGCCGCGGUAAUACGGAGGGAGCUAGCGUUAUUCGGAAUUACUGGGCGUAAAGCGUACGUAGGCGGUUAUUCAAGUCAGAGGUGAAAGCCCGGGGCUCAACCCCGGAACUGCCUUUGAAACUAGAUAGCUAGAAUCUUGGAGAGGUCAGUGGAAUUCCGAGUGUAGAGGUGAAAUUCGUAGAUAUUCGGAAGAACACCAGUGGCGAAGGCG
rnacentral:rRNA from 1 species